rnacentral:rRNA from 1 species
CCUACGGGAGGCAGCAGUGGGGAAUUUUGGACAAUGGGCGCAAGCCUGAUCCAGCCAUGCCGCGUGCAGGAUGAAGGCCUUCGGGUUGUAAACUGCUUUUGUACGGAACGAAAAGACUCUGGUUAAUACCUGGGGUUCAUGACGGUACCGUAAGAAUAAGCACCGGCUAACUACGUGCCAGCAGCCGCGGUAAUACGUAGGGUGCGAGCGUUAAUCGGAAUUACUGGGCGUAAAGCGUGCGCAGGCGGUUAUAUAAGACAGAUGUGAAAUCCCCGGGCUCAACCUGGGAACUGCAUUUGUGACUGUAUAGCUAGAGUACGGUAGAGGGGGAUGGAAUUCCGCGUGUAGCAGUGAAAUGCGUAGAUAUGCGGAGGAACACCGAUGGCGAAGGCAAUCCCCUGGACCUGUACUGACGCUCAUGCACGAAAGCGUGGGGAGCAAACAGGAUUAGAUACCCUGGUAGUCCACGCCCUAAACGAUGUCAACUGGUUGUUGGGUCUUCACUGACUCAGUAACGAAGCUAACGCGUGAAGUUGACCGCCUGGGGAGUCGGCCGCAAGGUUGAACUUAAAUGAAUUGACGG